CGUGUAGGAGGGUGCCGUGGUUGCUAAGAAGCUACUGGCGUGAGUCAGAGUGGAGCGGUCACGGGUACAGAUCUUGGUAGUAGUAGCAAUUAUUCAAGUGAGAUCCUUGAAGACUGAAGUGGAGAAGGGUUCCAUGUGAACAGUAUUUGAACAUGGGUUAGUCGGUCCUAAGCGAACUGGUAACUCAGUUAUCAGAUGAAGGUGAUAGACAUUAGCAAUAGUGUUUAUAUUUGACUCAUUUGCCUUCUGAAGCGAAAGGGAAUCAGUUUAAUAUUACUGAACUUGAAAUGGAAAUUUGGUUGUUUCGGCAACACAAGGUGGUAACACAAGCGAUCUCAGAGACGUUAUCAGUUGUUUUGGGAAGAGUUCUCUUUUCUUUGUAUACAUAAACAUGUCCUUAGAAUCAGGUAAUCUGGAGAAAAGGAUGUGAAAUGUUAAAAGCAUCAUGUUUCACGUGAUGUCCGAAGCACCGCUGAUGACCCUUGAAAAUCUGAGGGAGCAGUUAUAAAUUUCGUUUCAAACCGUACCGAUAUCCGCAGCAGGUCUCCUAGGUGAGCAGCCUAUAGUCUUAGAACAAUGUAGGUAAGGGAAGUCGGCAAAUUAGAUCCGUACCUUCGGUAAAAGGAUUGGCUCUAAGGACCGGGUAUGAUGGGCUUAAUUAAGAAGUUUAUUGAUUUGAAAUUGAGCUGUUUUGAUACUGUUUUGAGGAAACUUAAAAUGGAGUUGAAAUGGUACUUUUUCGAAUUGAUUUAUGGGCGAGUUUUGCUUGGAUUGUAGAUUUUCGAAUUUGCAGUCGUCGUUGUACACUAAACGGUCAACAUAGAACUGGCACGGACUAGAGGAAUCCGACUGUCUAAUUAAAACAUAGCAUUGCGAUGGCUGGUAAACGGCUUUGACGCAAUGCGCACCGAGCUCAUUUUUACCAGCCUCUCCUAAGAAUGGGCAAAUCCUUUCGGAUUAACUUCCACGGGAGUAACUAUGACUCUCUUAAGGUAGCCAAAUGCCUCGUCAUCUAAUUAGUGACGUGCAUGAAUGGAUUAACGAGAUUCCUACUGUCCCUAUCUACUAUCUAGCGAAACUACAGCCAAGGGAACGGGCUUGGAAAAUAUAGCGGGGAAAGAAGACCCUGUUGAGCUUGACUCUAGUCCGACUUUGUAGGAGAACUUUAGAGGUGUAGCAUAAGUGGGAGACUUCGGUCGACAGUGAAAUACCACUACUCUGAUUGUUUUUCUACUUACUCAAUGAAGCAGUAUAAUUAACUUUUGUUAAUUUUUUUUAGUGAAAAAAUUGCGAUCUUCGGAUGCAAUUGAACUGUUUUGAGGACAGUGUCAGGUGGGGAGUUUGACUGGGGCGGUACAUCUGUCAAAUGGUAACGCAGAUGUCCCAAGGGAAGCUCAACUAGGACAGAAACCUGGUGUUGACUAAAAGGGGAAAAGCUUCCUUGAUCUUGAUUUUCAGUACGAAUACAGACCGUGAAAGCGCGGCCUAUCGAUCCUUUUGAU
rnacentral:rRNA from 1 species